rnacentral:tRNA from 4 species
UCCCGGGUAGUGUAAUGGUAACACACCGCCCUUUGAAGGCGUUAUUCAUGGUUCGAGUCCAUGCCCGGGAG